GGCAAUUCCAGUGAGAACCUCUUGACCGGUUUCGUUCUAUGGGCCAUUUGUUUGAUUUCUCCGAUCAGAAUGGAUAAUUAACUUGUCUAUGGUUCCCGAACAAUCUGACAGACGGCCGUGAUUAGUCUUACUUGCCAAGUCAAAUGGUUCUUCUUCUUCUUCUUCUUUUGCGAUACAACCCCUACCUCUUUGUUUUAUAGCGUUUUUAACCUAACAUCAAU
rnacentral:misc_RNA from 1 species